CACGCGCGCCGCUCUGCGUCGGCGUCCGCUCUGCGUCAGCGUCCGCUCCCGUCCGGCUCCCUCUCCCGGGGAGAGACGGGCGCUGCCCGGCGGUGGCGCCCUGAGGGCCCCGCGCGGGCGCCGGGCGCGGGCAACGGCGGCGGCAUGCCGGAGAAGCGGCUCCCCGCGGAGCCACCAGAUAUUACAGAAGAAGAAUUUGAAGAUUCUUUGGCAACAGAUGAUUUCCUUGUGGACUACUUUAAUGAAUUCCUAAGCCUUCCAACCUUUUCAGAGGCAAUUAGAUUUAAUGCAGAUUAUGGAGUUUUUGAAGUAGUUAACAAUGCUCCACAACUUCUGGAAAAGCAACUGAAAAAAAUUCUACAAAACCAGCAACCUCGAAAUCCCAUCUAUGAUGUUGUAAGGAAAGGAAAGAAUGAUAUUAAACCUGUUCAAAUGAAUGCCCCCUAUGAAAAUGAGACCAUUAAUGUCAACUACAAUAUUAUGUGUCUCAGUCGUGAACAAGGUAUUAAGUGGAUCAAAAAAGAAAGACUUCCAGCAUUUCUGGAAAGUGAUUGCUACUUUGAAUACAGAUUAGCCAAAUUGGUCUCACAAGUACGAUGGAGCAGAUCAGGCAUGAACUUUACACUCGAUGCAGACUUUUCCCCCUGGGUCCCGAAAAAACCACCCAGUCCACCACCACCUGUCACUGAAGAAGAAAAUGCUAUAAUAAUGAAAAAGUUCUACAUUUCUCUUGGUGAGGCCACCUAUACUCAAACGGAAGAUUGGUUUACACUGGCAAAACAGAGUCUGCAAACAGUAUCAACGUUUUCAUUACCAUCUUGUGUACUCCACAGCAAAACUGAACCACCGGUUAUUUCAUCUGUUUCUGAAAGUUUUAUCUUUGAUGAUGGAAUUCACCCGAGGACAAAACGGGACUCAUCUGAAUCCACUAGAUUAAUUUCUCAUUUCAAAGAAGAAGAUGGGUCUGUAUGUCUACAAGACACUCCUUCUCAAGCGCUUCUGAGAAUAUACCUUGAAAAGCAACAGGAUGCUGAUGAUGGCCUUAUAUUGCAUUUCUCAACAUGUGAAGAAUUUUUAAGAUCUUACGUAGCCUUUAUUUUGAGAGUAGCAAUUCAUCACAUUUUUGAAGAGCCACUUAGAGAAAGCCCAGAUUUUAUAAAUUUCAACAAGGUAACAGAAGUGGUGAUUGAGGAGGGUUUUGAGCCUAUUCCUGGCAGGAAUGUUGUGUCAAGUGAAACAUUUCAAACCUAUGUCAAGUCAAAAGACAUGCUAGAACAAGCAAGUUUAAAAAGUGAGAGCACUGGACAAGAGAGCAGGGCCGAUUGGUGUAUUUCUCACAAAGCUUAUGAUAUUGGCAAUAGAAAAGAGUUUGAAAGAUUUAAGAAAUUUAUAAAAGGUACACUAGGAGAGAGAUAUUGGUUGUUAUGGAUGGAUAUUGAGAGGUUAAAAGUUCUUAAGAACGCUGGAAGACAUCAAAGACAUCUUGAAAAGAUGAAAAAAUGCUAUUUAGUGAGCAGUGGAGAUUGUUACCUUUCUGCAGAAAUAUUAUCAAAACUUAAACUGCUAGAUGCAUCUCAGUGGAAUGAAGAACAUUUAAGAAAUAUUCAGAUUGAGGUUGUAAAACCCUUACUUCUCUAUUGGGCGCCAAGAUUCUGUGUUAGUCAUUCAUCCCCAGCAAAACAUGCUAGUGCUGAACUGAAAUUCUGGCAUCUCCGUCAAGAGAAACCAAGGAAGGAUGUUGACCCUUUUCCACAAAUGGCAACCCUCUUGCCAUUAAGACCUAAAUCGUGCAUUCCACAGGUAUCUGAUAUGCAGAAAGAAGAAUCCAAUUUAUUACAACAUCCUAAAUCUCCCAAGAAACCACCUAGAGCAAAAACGGCAGUUCAAAAACCUUGGAAGAGCAAGUCUUUGUAUCUGAUUUCUUCGAAGGACGAUGUGAUUGAGAAAGGGUUGAGGCACAGAUCAGAAAGCACCAGAGUUAUUCGCUUAACAUCUUUUACUGAUAUUUCUGAAUGUCUGAAGCCCCAGCUGGAUAGAAGAUACACUUAUACAGAAGAACCUUUGGUUAAAACCAUGGCAGAUGGUGCCUUGGGAGGAUUUGACAUGGAAAAUUUGUUGCAAUCUUUGUAUGUAGAAAAUAGAGCUGGAUUCUUCUUUACCAAAUUCUGUGAGCACUCAGGAAAUAAGUUGUGGAGGAAUAGUGUGUACUUUUGGUUUGACCUACAGGCUUAUCAUCAGCUCUUCUACCAAGAAACACUUCACCCUUUUAAAGUAUGCAAACAAGCCCAAUAUCUUUUUGCCACAUACAUUGCUCCUUCGGCCACUCUUGACAUUGGACUCCAACAGGAAAAGAAAAAAGAAAUUUAUAUGAGAAUACAGCCACCAUUUGAAGACCUUUUUGACACAGCAGAAGAAUAUAUCCUUCUCCUCCUUCUUGAGCCCUGGACACAGAUGGUAAAAUUAGACCAAGUUGCUCUUAGAAAGGUGGAGCUGGUGGAAGAAACUAGACAGCUAGACUCCACAUACUUCAGAAAGCUACAGGCUUUGCAUAAAGAGACAUUUUCCAAGAAAGCUGAGGACACUACGUGUGAAGUUGGAACUGGUAUUUCACCACUUCCUGAUGUGUCUAAAAAAACAGAAUACUGGAAUAAUGUUCCUGAAGAAUAUAGGCACUUCAGUUUCAAUGAUCUGCUUAACAACAAACUGGAGUUUGAACAUUUCCGUCAGUUUCUUGAGGCUCAUUCUUCAAGUGUGGACCUUAUGUGCUGGACAGACAUUGAGCAGUUCCGAAGAAUAAUUUACAGAGACCGAAAGCAAAGGGAAGCAAAAUCUAUAUAUAUUAAAGACAAAUACCUUAAUAAAAAAUAUUUCUUUGGCCCCCAAAGUCCAGCUUCUCUAUAUCAGCAGGACCAGAUAAUGAAUUUAAGUGGUGGCUGGGGAAAGAUGCUCCAUGAGCAGCUCGAUGCACCUGUUCUAAUUGAAAUUCAGAAGCAUGUCCUAAAUAAGCUAGAAAAUGUGUGGUUGCCAUUAUUUCUUGCAAGUGAACAGUUUGCAGCACGUCAGAAGAUAAAGGUACAGAUGAGGGAUGUAGCUGAGGAGCUCUUACUACAGAAGCAUGAAAGGAAAAUCGGGGUCUGGAAGCCUGUGGAGAGUAAAUGGAUAUCUUCAUCUUGUGAAAUCCUGGCUUUUCGUAAAGCGUUAUUGAAUCCAGUUACUGCAAGACAGUUUCAACGGUUUGUGGCUCUAAAAGGAGAUUUAUUGGAAAAUGGGGUACUCUUUUGGCAAGAAGUACAAAAAUAUAAGGACUUGUGCCAUUCUCAUUGUGAUGAGUCCAUCAUUCACAAGAAGAUCAUGACUAUUAUCAACUGCUUUAUUAAUUCUAGUAUUCCACCAGCUUUACAAAUUGACAUUCCAAUAGAGCAAGCCCAGAAGAUUAUUGAACACAGGAAGGAGUUAGGACCCUAUGUAUUUAGAGAGGCACAGAUGACAAUUUUUGGGGUUCUAUUUAAAUUUUGGCCUCAGUUUUGCGAGUUUAGGAAGAACUUAACUGAUGAAAAAAUUAUGAGUGUUUUAGAGAGAAGACAAGAAUAUAAUAAGAAAAAAAAAUUGGCAGUCACAGAAGACGAGAAAUUUGCAAAGGAUGGAAGCAAACAAUAUGCAAGUUCUUCAGGAUCUGCUAUCAAAACAGCUGCUUUACCCAGUGACCCAGUUUUCAGCCUGCAAGCAUAUGGUCGACAGCCAACCUGGUGCUACUCCAAGUACAUAGAAGCCUUAGAACAGGAGAGGAUUCUUCUUAAAAUUCAAGAAGAACUGGAAAAAAAGUUAUUUACAGCUACACCAUCUUUUACAAAUUUUAAGUCUGCUGCUUCAGCUAUGUCUUUGAAAAAGACCGUAUCUUCCUACAACAUCCAGAAGUGACAGUACUCAUGUGGGUGUAUAAUCUGCUGCUGCUAGAUGCAAGCUGCUGUACCCUUCUGCCAAUUCCCCAACCUCUUAGGCCAUCCUUAUAAGUGCCUCAACAUGUAUGGAAUUCUCUAGACCAAAUUUAACUGAUAUGGAAGCUCAAGUGAUUAUUUUUUUGAUGGCCUGCAUUAGAGCAAGCCUACCAUCUAAAUAAAGUUUGGCAUGUUGUACUCUUA